GGAUGCCUAGGCAGUCAGAGGNGAUGAAGGACGUACUAACUUGCGAUAAGCGUANAUGAGGCAGUAAGAGCCACUUGAGUCUACNAUUUCCGAAUGGGGAAACCCAGCUGCAUAAGCAGUUAUCUCAAUGUGAAUUCAUAGCAUUGUGAGGCGAACCGGGGGAACUGAAACAUCUAAGUACCCCGAGGAAGAGAAAUCAACCGAGAUUCCGGCAGUAGCGGCGAGCGAAACCGGAUUAGCCCUUAAGCUAAUCUUGCGUUAGGUGAACAUGCUGGAAAGCAUGGCAAUAAAGGGUGAUAGCCCCGUAACCAACAACGCUUUAUCAGUGAAAUCGAGUAGGACGGGACACGUGUUAUCCUGUCUGAAUAUGNNGGGACCAUCCUCCANGGCU
rnacentral:rRNA from 2 species